ACUUUUUUUUUUUUUUUUUUUUUUNUUUUUGUCUUUUUGGGGCUGCACCUGAGGCAUAUGGAGAUUCCUAGGCUAGGGGUUGAAUCGGAGCUGUAGCCGCUGGCCUACACCAUAGCCGCAGCAAUGCCAGAUCCAAGCCAUGUCUGCGACCUACACCACAGCUCAUGGCAAUGCCAGAUCCUUAACCCACUGAGCGAGGCCAGGGAUCGAACUUGUGUCCUCAUGGAUGCUAGUCAGAUUCAUUUCCACUGAGCCAUGACGGUCAUUCCCAAUGAUUAUUUUUAAAAGAUUAAUAUUUAUUUACAAAAUAUUCAUGUUUCUGAGUUGUGACAGACUAGCAAGACUUCACAAGAAUAGAAAAACUUGGGAAAAUUCUGUAUUAUUGGUGAAUAUCUUCAAUUUUAUGUUCUUCAAUUAAAAAGAGAACCACAAGACUGGAGACAUGGUGUGUUAGUUUGCAAGGGCUGUGGUUACAAAGUAUUACAAACUAGCUAGCUUUAUGUAAGAGAAAUUUGUCUCAUAGUUCCAGAAGGUAAAAGUCCUAGUUAAACUGUGGCAGGUUGGAUGCUUCUCAAGACAGAGAGAGAUUUGAUCUAACUCUCUUUUCUUUGGCUUGUAGAUGGACUUUAUGUUCAUAUCAGGUUUUUCCUAUAUAUACACUGUGUCUGAACAUCUUUGAGAAGGACAUCAGUCAUGUUGGAUUAGGUACCUCCCCCUACUUCAGUAUAACCUCAUUUUGAAAAAAAAUUACUAUAAUUGAUUUACAAUGUUCUGUCAAUUUCUGCUGUAAGUAUAACCUCAUUUUAACUUAACCAAGUACAUUUUCAAUGAUUCUAUUUUCAGAAGAUCAUAUACUGAGGUAUUGGUGGUUAGGGUUUCAACAUAUGAGUUUUGGCAGAAGCAAAACUCAACCCCUCAUAAAAUCCAAUUCAGAGAAACCAUAGUGCAUUUUGAGAGAGAUUUUGUUUGUUUUUGUCUUUUUCUCUCUUUAGAGCCUCACCCAUGGCAUGUGGAUGUUCCCAGGCUAGGGGUCAAAUUGGAGCUGUAGCUGCCAGCCUAUGCCAGAGCCACAGCAAUGCACCAUCUGAGCCGCGUCUGCAACCUACACCACAGCUCACAGCAGUGCCUGAUCCUUAACCCACUGAGCAAGGCUAGGAAUUGAACCUGCCUCCUCAUGUAUGCUAGUUGGGUUCUUUAACCACUGAGCCAUGGCAGGAACUCCUGAGAGAGAGAUUUUAUAUUAAUGUAAUAUUAAUCUUAAUUUUUUAUGAAAAAGAAAUUGCUUAGAUAUAUUUGAAAACUUUUGCAAAGAUGCAUCUUAAAAUAUGCAAAAGAGUAAUUUAUCAGUUUUCUAAUUAUGAAUCAUUAUCUAUAUAGUUCAAAUGUCCUUGCAUUUUUCAAGUAACUACACUGAAUCGAGUUUUUUCUGACCUUUGAUUAAAAUAUUUGCAUUUUAAAAUUUUUCCAUAUAUCUCACAUAUGAAAUUAAGCAGAGAUAUCUGAUUUACCCAGCUAACUAAAGAGCUCUUAUAUCCCUAAUGGUUUAAUCCCAUGAAUAAAUACCUAAUGUUAAAAUUUGAUUUUGGCAUAGGAGUACAUAAAAAUUUAUAUUCCCUUUAUAUUCCAUUCCUUCCUAUAUUUUUUACAAUAAAAUUAUUGCUCAAUGCUUUUAGAAUUUACUGUGAAUUAGAUCUCAAGACUUUAAACUUAUCCAUAAUCAUAGACACAUCAUAGUGUUUUACAUAGUGAGAAUUACUUCCUUCAGCAGAAUAAAUUUCUCACUUUACCUCCUCAUAGUUUAUCUAUUCAAGAACAAAAACAUUACCACAUACAGUACUGUAAUAGUCAUGUUAUUAUUCAUUUGUAUAAAGUCAUAAAUGCAUAACUAGAAAUAAUUCAACUCACUUAUGUAUGCAACCAGAAAGUCUAUGUUUGUCCAAACCAAUAACAAGUUUUAGAGGUUUUUUUAAAUCUGUUAUCUCACAAAAUGGAACUUUUUGCAAUAGUUUUUUUCAGAUUUUUCUCAGAUUCAUGUCUGUCAAAUAACUAAGAUGUAUCCAAUGUGUUUUUUUGUUUUGUUUUAUUUAUGGCCGCAUCCAUGGCAUAUAGAACUUCCCCAGGCCAGGGAUCUAAUCUGAGCUGCAACUGUGACCUAUGCCAUUGCUGCAGCAAUUCUGGAUCCUUUAACCCACUGUGCUAGGCCAGGAAUCAAACUGGUGUCUCUGCAGCAACCAGAGUCACUGUAGUCGGAUUCUUAACCCCACUGAAGCAGGGACUCCAUAUCCAUAGUUCUUAUGGUCAACAUUUACCAAAAUCCACAUUUUCUUACUGUAAAAAUUUGUUUUGGUGUGCUAGAAUUUCUUUAGGGCCAUUUUUGUAUCUUCUUUGUAUACUGGUAAUUGGUACUUCACUUUUUUUUCUGUGAGACACAUAUCAAGGAUUGUAUUUACCUCAGUUAUCUUGGAGCAAAAGGAACCAGCAGAAUACAACCAUGUAAUAGACAAAUAUAAAUACAGACUAGUAAUAAAUGGUUGCAUUAAAAUAAAGAGGUAAAAGUCCUAAAACAAGUCACCUGAUUGACCCAAUGGUCCUUCCUUUCUCCCCUGCCACACACACACAUUCACUCUCUAUCUUUGAUUGCCUAGGUGAUAGUCCCCAUGUGAUACUGACCUUGGGAUUUUGUGCCAUUUUUAUAUGCUGAAUCAUUAGUGCCUAAAAUUCAUUUGUUGAAGCCCUAAACUUCAGGAUCUUAGAAUGUGACUAUAGUGAGAGACAGGGCCUUCAAAGAGAUAAUUAAUGUAAAAUAAGGUCAUAUGUGCAAACCCUAUUCCAAAAUAAUUACUGUUAUAUUAGAGGUUAGGAGGCAGACCAGGGGAUAACUGUAAGCACAGAGAGAUGGCCAUCCCUAAGCCAAGGAGAGAGGCUUUUGGAAGAAACCAGACCUACUGACAUCUUGAUCUUGAACUUCUAGCCUCUUGCACUGUGAAAAAAUUAAUUUCUGUUGUUUAAACCACACAAUCUCAGUUAUCUUGGAGCAAAAGGAACCAGCAGAAUACAACCAUGUAAUAGACAAAUAUAAAUACAGACUAGUAAUAAAUGGUUGCAUUAAAAUAAAGAGUAGUUUAUUAUGGCAGCCCUAGCAAACUAAUACACCACCAACUCUUUUUU
rnacentral:lncRNA from 1 species